rnacentral:lncRNA from 1 species
UCCGCUAUGGUAGGAUCCCAAAUUUUAUUAAAAAAAUUCAAGUCCAGACCCAAAUAUUUGGUGGCAACUCAGGCUGAAGUAGACUGCCUUCCAGCAUCAUAGGCAUUGGUAGAGUAUUCAGUCCUUUCUUCCUCAUAUUUUUUAGAGACUCAGAAGCCCUCUAUAGCCUGAGAAGCGGCCUCAACUGUUCGCUUCUCCUCAGCCCCCAGGCAGGCCUUCAGUUCUUUUAUUUCUCUGAGCAGUUGAUAAUUCUCCUCGACAGUCUUCCUCAAUACUGCCUCGACAUCUUUGGCUCUCCUUUCGACGGCGUCGGUUUAAGACUUCAUCGACCUUCUUCUCAGCCUUCUCUCUUGCUCUUUUAAGUAUCUCGACUUUGAGCCUAGACUUUUUUGCCUCUUUGGCCAACUCACGAGAACUUUCAAUAUAUUCGUUCAGGUAAUGGGUGAGCUGGUAAGUAGAAAAAAAUUCAGAAGUAAAAAAUGAGCAUACAGUAGGUGCUAAGUGAGAAAAUCCAAAUAUAUCCGGAUAAAGCAAUCCAUGGCUCCUCUCCUCAUCUUCCUUCGAGGGAUGCCUAGUAGCUCAUUCGCAUCGAUAGGGAGUAGUUCGAAGAGUAGCUUGCUCGCCAGCACGAGAUCCCUCAGCACCAAGGCCUCCAGCUUCAACCCAAGUGUAGUUUCAGAUGCGCUGGAAACCUCGAUGGGAGCCUCAUCCAAGGAAGGCUCGACUGCGGGUGAAGCUCAUCAGAUCGAAGAAUCGAGAGGAGCGGAUAAACUCAGAAUCACAUCCUCCAGGCCUUACUCUGUAUGACCCACCCAAUAACCUACAGCAUUAGAGAUGGUAGGCAAAUCCUCUCUCACCAGUGCAAUCUCAUGACCCUCCAGAGGAAAUGGUUCAAACUCCCUGAUCUCCAGGGUCGAUUGCGUGGGAUCUCCAACUUUAACCUAGAGGUUCCAUCUGACAGCGGGCUUAGCACCUCUUUUUCGCAAAAUUUUCCUCUCUCUCUUUGGCGGGCUCAAGCUCUUCCUGACUUCUAGCUCUACAAUCAUCAUGGAGAUCCAAUUGUAAGACGAACAAAGUCAGAAGAAUUAAGACCAGAACAGCUUACUUGCAUAUCUUGGGAGCAACUUGGCUGAUACCGGUAUUAAACAAUAUCUGAGCCGACAGCAGCUCCUUUAACUCUGGAAUCUUGAAGCUCCACAGAGCUGCCAUCAGGCUCCAGGGUCUUGUUCAUAGAAAGCUCUUUUAACGAAGUUUCUUGGGGUUCACCCC